UACGUAGGGUGCGAGCGUUAAUCGGAAUUACUGGGCGUAAAGCGUGCGUAGGCGGUUCGUUAAGUUCGUUGUGAAAGCCCCGGGCUCAACCUGGGAAUGGCAAUGGAAACUGGCGGGCUGGAGUAUGGCAGAGGGGGGUGGAAUUCCGCGUGUAGCAGUGAAAUGCGUAGAGAUGCGGAGGAACACCGAUGGCGAAGGCAGCCCCCUGGGCCAAUACUGACGCUCAGGCACGAAAGCGUGGGGAUCAAACAGG
rnacentral:rRNA from 1 species